UACGUAGGGGGCAAGCGUUGUUCGGAAUUACUGGGCGUAAAGGGCGCGUAGGCGGCACGGCAAGUCGGGAGUGAAAGCCCGGGGCUCAACCCCGGAACUGCUCACGAAACUGCCGAGCUAGAGUGCGGAAGAGGCAACUGGAAUUCCCAGUGUAGCGGUGAAAUGCGUAGAUAUUGGGAAGAACACCGGAGGCGAAGGCGGGUUGCUGGGCCGACACUGACGCUGAGGCGCGAAAGCCAGGGGAGCGAACGGG
rnacentral:rRNA from 1 species